GAUGAACGCUGGCGGCGUGCCUAAUACAUGCAAGUCGAGCGAACGGACGAGAAGCUUGCUUCUCUGAUGUUAGCGGCGGACGGGUGAGUAACACGUGGAUAACCUACCUAUAAGACUGGGAUAACUUCGGGAAACCGGAGCUAAUACCGGAUAAUAUUUUGAACCGCAUGGUUCAAAAGUGAAAGACGGUCUUGCUGUCACUUAUAGAUGGAUCCGCGCUGCAUUAGCUAGUUGGUAAGGUAACAGCUUACCAAGGCAACGAUGCAUAGCCGACCUGAGAGGGUGAUCGGCCACACUGGAACUGAGACACGGUCCAGACUCCUACGGGAGGCAGCAGUAGGGAAUCUUCCGCAAAGGGCGAAAGCCUGACGGAGCAACGCCGCGUGAGUGAUGAAGGUCUUCGGAUCGUAAAACUCUGUUAUUAGGGAAGAACAUAUGUGUAAGUAACUGUGCACAUCUUGACGGUACCUAAUCAGAAAGCCACGGCUAACUACGUG
rnacentral:rRNA from 1 species